rnacentral:rRNA from 1 species
GAGUUUGAUCCUGGCUCAGGAUGAACGCUGGCGGCGUGCCUAACACAUGCAAGUCGAACGAAGCACCUUUUAAGAUUCUUCGGAUGAUUGAUUGGUGACUGAGUGGCGGACGGGUGAGUAACGCGUGGGUAACCUGCCCUGUACAGGGGGAUAACAGCUGGAAACGGCUGCUAAUACCGCAUAAGCGCACGAGAGGACAUCCUCUUGUGUGAAAAACUCCGGUGGUACAGGAUGGGCCCGCGUCUGAUUAGCUGGUUGGCAGGGUAACGGCCUACCAAGGCAACGAUCAGUAGCCGGUCUGAGAGGAUGAACGGCCACAUUGGAACUGAGACACGGUCCAGACUCCUACGGGAGGCAGCAGUGGGGAAUAUUGGGCAAUGGGCGCAAGCCUGACCCAGCAACGCCGCGUGAGGGAAGAAGGUUUUCGGAUUGUAAACCUCUGUCGCAGGGGACGAAGGAAGUGACGGUACCCUGUAAGAAAGCCCCGGCUAACUACGUGCCAGCCGCCGCGGUAAUAC